GUGGGGAAUAUUGCACAAUGGGGGAAACCCUGAUGCAGCGACGCCGCGUGAGCGAAGAAGUAUUUCGGUAUGUAAAGCUCUAUCAGCAGGGAAGAUAAUGACGGUACCUGACUAAGAAGCCCCGGCUAACUACGUGCCAGCAGCCGCGGUAAUACGUAGGGGGCUAGCGUUAUCCGGAAUUACUGGGCGUAAAGGGUGCGUAGGUGGUUUCUUAAGUCAGAGGUGAAAGGCUACGGCUGAACCGUAGUAAGCCUUUGAAACUGGGAAACUUGAGUGCAGGAGAGGAGAGUGGAAUUCCUAGUGUAGCGGUGAAAUGCGUAGAUAUUAGGAGGAACACCAGUUGCGAAGGCGGCUCUCUGGACUGUAACUGACACUGAGGCACGAAAGCGUGGGGAGCAAACAGGAUUAGAAACCCGAGUAGUCC
rnacentral:rRNA from 1 species